CCCCUACAAACACUGGAAUGUAGAGGCUGAACGGUUGUGUUGUUGUUGUUUUAUGGGUUUUUUUUUGUUUUGUUGAGUUUGGUUUGUUGGGGUUUUUUUUAAUUAUCCAAGAGGCAAAAAAUCCAGUCCCUGUUCCAUCCUCACCUCUUCCCCUCCUCUCUCCAAUGCAAACCCUGAAGCGAACUCCCAAGUCAGAACGCCCUGGGAGCGGGCAUCCAGCCAGGCUUCCCUGAGGAGGCAGGCUGCUGCCUCAGCCUCACCCCCACACAGGGCAGCAGCAACAAUCCCUCCUUCCCCGGCCCUGUUCGCCAAAAAAAGGUGAACCCAAGGCCCUGCUGUAAUUGCCAGGCAGUGUCUUUGGCUUGAUCUAGGUCCCUUACACAGGGAAAAAUCAACUGCAGUGGCUUUAAACGUACUAGAGCUUGUUGCUGUUUGCAGGCCUCCUAGGCAUACAGAUUGCAGGAGACAAUUUACGGUUUUCUUCCAGGAAUCCUGUCCCAGCCCUACUGCAGUCGGGGAACGCGUCAAGCAAGGGCGAGUUGCGCGCUGCGCUUGAGAUAGCCAACCGAAGAGCUGCCAACCAGACCAUUACAAAAUACAAAGCAUUAGAAGCAAAUGCCAUCCCUUUCAGGGCCUGUUAAACAGAAGGUGACCCCAAUUCCUUGAAAAUAAGCCUUCCAAAACUCCAGAAAAGCAAGAAAAUUCCCUUGCUGCAGGCUACCUGGCUUUGGAAGAGACAGAAGUGGGACUGGACUUCACAGGUGUUUCUGAAAUGGCACCUCAAGAUACAACUUCUACACUUGUAUAGUUAGUCCCAGAAUGCAAGAACAUGAACCUAAGUCCUAAAGCACUCAAUACUCUUCCCUCAGAAACGACCCUUGUAAGCCAGCCACCCAAAUACUGAUAUUGAUACACACACACACACACAUAUAUAAAAUGAUACCUUUUACAAGCAGGAGACCUGUUUCUGUGCAGACAUGAGGUGGGAAUCAGAGCAUUCCAGGUGCAGCACAGUUCCUGCACCCAUCACUUGUUUCCGUUACUAAGCUGAGCCAGAGCAACCAUUGUGAACAACCAGAGCUGUCACCCCCAACACUUUGGUGCUGCCAUUGCAAGGUACCAGAGCCCAAAACAUAUGCCAAAAA